AUUAAUUUACUCUUUAAAAUUUUAUUUCUAAUGGCAUACCUAUGUAAUUACUUACAAAAAUUAAGAUUAUAUUUAAAAUGUAUUUCCCAAAUAAUAUAGUAGGACUAAAAAGCUUUGAAUCUU
rnacentral:sRNA from 1 species